rnacentral:tRNA from 1 species
GGCGCCGUGGUGAAGUAGCUAACACGGGGGUCUGCAAAACCCUUAUUCGCGGGUGCAAAUCCCGCCGGCGCCU